GGUUAAGCGACUAAGCGUACACGGUGGAUGCCCUGGCAGUCAGAGGCGAUGAAGGACGUGCUAAUCUGCGAUAAGCGUCGGUAAGGUGAUAUGAACCGUUAUAACCGGCGAUUUCCGAAUGGGGAAACCCAGUGUGUUUCGACACACUAUCAUUAACUGAAUCCAUAGGUUAAUGAGGCGAACCGGGGGAACUGAAACAUCUAAGUACCCUGAGGAAAAGAAAUCAACCGAGAUUCCCCCAGUAGCGGCGAGCGAACGGGGAGCAGCCCAGAGCCUGAAUCAGUAUGUGUGUUAGUGGAAGCGUCUGGAAAGGCGCGCGAUACAGGGUGACAGCCCCGUACACAAAAAUGCACAUGCUGUGAGCUCGAUGAGUAGGGCGGGACACGUGGUAUCCUGUCUGAAUAUGGGGGGACCAUCCUCCAAGGCUAAAUACUCCUGACUGACCGAUAGUGAACCAGUACCGUGAGGGAAAGGCGAAAAGAACCCCGGCGAGGGGAGUGAAAAAGAACCUGAAACCGUGUACGUACAAGCAGUGGGAGCACAGAGCAAUCUGUGUGACUGCGUACCUUUUGUAUAAUGGGUCAGCGACUUAUAUUCUGUAGCAAGGUUAACCGAAUAGGGGAGCCGAAGGGAAACCGAGUCUUAACUGGGCGUUAAGUUGCAGGGUAUAGACCCGAAACCCGGUGAUCUAGCCAUGGGCAGGUUGAAGGUUGGGUAACACUAACUGGAGGACCGAACCGACUAAUGUUGAAAAAUUAGCGGAUGACUUGUGGCUGGGGGUGAAAGGCCAAUCAAACCGGGAGAUAGCUGGUUCUCCCCGAAAGCUAUUUAGGUAGCGCCUCGUGAAUUCAUCUCCGGGGGUAGAGCACUGUUUCGGCAAGGGGGUCAUCCCGACUUACCAACCCGAUGCAAACUGCGAAUACCGGAGAAUGUUAUCACGGGAGACACACGGCGGGUGCUAACGUCCGUCGUGAAGAGGGAAACAACCCAGACCGCCAGCUAAGGUCCCAAAGUCAUGGUUAAGUGGGAAACGAUGUGGGAAGGCCCAGACAGCCAGGAUGUUGGCUUAGAAGCAGCCAUCAUUUAAAGAAAGCGUAAUAGCUCACUGGUCGAGUCGGCCUGCGCGGAAGAUGUAACGGGGCUAAACCAUGCACCGAAGCUGCGGCAGCGACGCUGAUGCGUUGUUGGGUAGGGGAGCGUUCUGUAAGCCUGCGAAGGUGUGCUGUGAGGCAUGCUGGAGGUAUCAGAAGUGCGAAUGCUGACAUAAGUAACGAUAAAGCGGGUGAAAAGCCCGCUCGCCGGAAGACCAAGGGUUCCUGUCCAACGUUAAUCGGGGCAGGGUGAGUCGACCCCUAAGGCGAGGCCGAAAGGCGUAGUCGAUGGGAAACAGGUUAAUAUUCCUGUACUUGGUGUUACUGCGAAGGGGGGACGGAGAAGGCUAUGUUGGCCGGGCGACGGUUGUCCCGGUUUAAGCGUGUAGGCUGGUUUUCCAGGCAAAUCCGGAAAAUCAAGGCUGAGGCGUGAUGACGAGGCACU
rnacentral:rRNA from 1 species